UUCCAGACUCCUACGGGAGGCAGCAGUGGGGGAUAUUGCGCAAUGGGGGGAACCCUGAUGCAGCGACGCCGCGUGGGUGAAGGAGUAUUUCGGUAUGUAAAGCCCUAUCAGCAGGGAAGAAGCAAGACGGUACCUGACUAAGAAGCCCCGGCUAACUACGUGCCAGCAGCCGCGGUAAUACGUAGGGGGCGAGCGUUAUCCGGAUUCACUGGGUGUAAAGGGAGCGUAGACGGCCAAGCAAGCCAGGGGUGAAAGCCCGGGGCCCAACCCCGGGACUGCUCUUGGAACUGCGUGGCUGGAGUGCAGGAGGGGCAGGCGGAAUUCCUGGUGUAGCGGUGAAAUGCGUAGAUAUCAGGAGGAACACCGGUGGCGAAGGCGGCCUGCUGGACUGCAACUGACGUUGAGGCCCGAAAGCGUGGGGAGCAAACAGGAUUAGAUACCCCAGUACCU
rnacentral:rRNA from 1 species